AACAGAUUGUGCCCUGUUUUUUCAGGUUAGGUCUUUGAGAAGGACUCUGGUCAGUGUUGAGGACUGCUACUAUACAAUUCUCUGUGGAAAGGGGCAAUCUAAGGAUAUAUGGAGGCAAUUCCUUGUACAAGUAGGAACAUUGACUAAAUUAGAGAAGGUUACCUGAGGAGAUCUGGUUUUGGAGCCUUGUCCUUGCAGGUUGGGCUGUGCUGUUUUGAUGCGUGUAGCAGUGAAGUUUUGUUUGCUGGAACGUGGCUGCAGGCUGCUGGCUGGGUACUUUUGUGUAGUUUGGUCGCUCCGUGGUUGAUACUUUUGAGUAGUUUGGUGGCUCUGUGGUUGGUACUUUCGUGUAGUUUGGUGGCUGGAAUGUUUUUGGUAUAUGUAACAUGUAUUCUGGAACAUAUGCUUUUGUUGGCUGGAAUAUUAUCUGUGGCUAGAAUAUAUCUGUUGCA